rnacentral:RNase_P_RNA from 1 species
CAGCUGGACCGGACGGUCGCUCUCGCCGCGUCAAGUGGCGAGGGAGGAAAGUCCGAACUCCACAGAGCAGUGUGCCGGAUAACGUCCGGGAGAUGGGUGCCCCAUCCUAAAUUUCGCGUUCUUUGCGAAAUUUAGGGUGGGACUCCAGUCGACGGAAAGUGCCACAGAAAACAUACCGCCCCGCCGUUCCGGUGAGUCUUCGUCAUGGAAGCGAGGACUGACUGGAACGGCGUGGUAAGGGUGAAAAGGUGCGGUAAGAGCGCACCGCCGCCGCAGUAAUGCCGCGGGCAUGGCAAACCCCACACGGAGCAAGACCAAAUAGGGAGGAAGCCUCAGGUUCGCCUGAGGCACGUGCCGACUCGGUGCGUCAAACCUUCGGGUAGGUCGCUUGAGCCGCGCAGCAAUGUGCGGCCCAGAGGAAUGACCGUCCUGCCCGCAAGGGCAGACAGAAUUCGGCUUACAGGUCCGGCUGCCAU